CUUCUCCCUUACACCUACGGGAGGCAGCAUUGAGGAAUCUUCCACAAUGGACGGAAGUGUGAUGGAGCGACAUCGCGUAAAGGAUGAAGGUUUUGUUGUUGUAAACUUCUUUUCUCAGGGGGGAUAAUGACGGUACCUGAGGAAUAAGCGACGGCAAACUAUGUGCCAGCAGCCGCGGUAAUACGUAGGUCCCAAGCGUUAUCCGGAAUUACUGGGCGUAAAGCGUCUGCAGGUGGAAAAGUGUGUGAGAUGUGAAAGACCGGGGCUUAACCCGGUGUUUGUGUCUCAAACUGCUUUUCGGGAGUGAGCAAGAGGUAUGCGGAAUUUAUGGAGUAGGAGUGCAAUCCGUUGACACCAUAAAGAACACCAAAAGCGAAGGCAGCAUACUGGGGCUCUACUGACACUCAGAGACGAAAGCGUGGGGAGCGAAAGGGAUUAGAUACCCCUGUAGUCCACGCCCUAAACUAUGAUGACUAGGUGUUGGUCCUUCGGGAUCAGUGCCGUAGCU
rnacentral:rRNA from 1 species